ACUAUUUUGGCAGAAAAUUGUAAUGAUUUUAGAAGUCAUAAAUAUAUAUAGACAUAUAUUAUAUAUAAGUAGUA
rnacentral:tRNA from 1 species